rnacentral:rRNA from 1 species
AGUUUGAUCAUGGCUCAGGAUGAACGCUAGCGGCAGGCCUAACACAUGCAAGUCGAGGGGUAGGGUGCUUCGGCACUUGAGACCGGCGCACGGGUGCGUAACACGUGUACAAUCUACCUUUUGCUAAGGGAUAGCCCGAAGAAAUUUGGAUUAAUACCUUAUAGUAUUGUUUGGUGGCAUCACUAAAUAAUUAAAGCUCUGGUGGCAAAAGAUGAGUACGCGUUCCAUUAGCUAGUUGGUGUGGUAACGGCAUACCAAGGCUACGAUGGGUAGGGGUCCUGAGAGGGAGGUCCCCCACACUGGUACUGAGACACGGACCAGACUCCUACGGGAGGCAGCAGUGAGGAAUAUUGGACAAUGGUCGGAAGACUGAUCCAGCCAUGCCGCGUGCAGGAUGACGGCCUUAUGGGUUGUAAACUGCUUUUAUACAGGAAGAAUAAGGUNUNCGUGUAGAUNGANGACGGUACUGUAUGAAUAAGCAUCGCA